UACAGAGGGGGCGAGCGUUGUUCGGAAUUACUGGGCGUAAAGGGCGCGUAGGCGGCCAACUAAGUCCGACGUGAAAUCCCCAGGCUUAACCUGGGAACUGCGUCGGAUACUGGAUGGCUUGAAUCCGGGAGAGGGAUGCGGAAUUCCAGGUGUAGCGGUGAAAUGCGUAGAUAUCUGGAGGAACACCGGUGGCGAAGGCGGCAUCCUGGACCGGCAUUGACGCUGAGGAGCGAAAGCCAGGGGAGCAAACGGGG
rnacentral:rRNA from 1 species